AUCAGGUGAUGGUCAGGUGGUCGUUAAACUGCCUCUCUGAAAUAAUAGUUGGGUCACAGCUGGUGCCAGGGAAAGGUAGUCUCCCAAUAGAUAGAAACACCAGGAACGGAUGAUCAGCAGCUUCCAGAUAAGAUCUCAGGAAAUGGGCUCUUGUUCCAGAGGACUGAAUAGAUCUUCAAGUCCUUGCAUACUGUCAAGCAUUUACAUCAGGGCCCUCACUGCCUUGGAUGCACUUGGAGAAUUUUAGCUGCAACAGGAUGCAAAAAGUUCAAGCCAAGGGUACAGGGAGAAGAAAGUGAAAGUGGAAAUUAAAGGGCCCAAGUAGGAGAGAGCAGAAGAAAAAGAAACAAACAAACAAGAACAACAUAAAAA